UGCCAGCCGCCGCGGUAAUACGGAGGGGGUUAGCGUUGUUCGGAAUUACUGGGCGUAAAGCGCGCGUAGGCGGCUUAGUCAGUCAGAUGUGAAAGCCCCGGGCUCAACCUGGGAAUUGCAUUUGAUACUGCCAAGCUAGAGUAUGGUAGAGGGUGGUGGAAUUCCAGGUGUAGCGGUGAAAUGCGUAGAUAUCUGGAGGAACAUCAGUGGCGAAGGCGGCCACCUGGACCAAUACUGACGCUGAGGUGCGAAAGCGUGGGGAGCAAACAGGGUUAGAUA
rnacentral:rRNA from 1 species